rnacentral:lncRNA from 1 species
AACCUCCGUGAGAGGUGCGGGGCGAUGCGGCCCCUCCCACCUGAGGCUGUGGAAGCGACGUGUCUGGGGUGCAGACAGGACUAAAAUCUUUUAGGACAAAAAGAAACCGAUUGUGGUAAAUCCUCUGGACAACGCCGGGUCCUCGGAAGCGGUGCGGUAGGUGUCACCUUCCCCUCACAGACCAACCGAGCGAAACCCAGGGCUAGGCGCCUCCUGAGACAGUGUCUUAAGAGCUCUGCUGACCCGUACGAUGCCGGGCGGAGGCUGCUGGCCAAAACACACAAAGGCAGGACAAGACUUCAGCACCGUGAUCCUAGACUACAAAAGUCGAUUCUGAAGAUCGUGUGCUUUUAAGUGUUUGUGGGAAAAGUUGGUCUCAUUCCUCAAAAUGUAUUCAUUUAUGGAGGCGGACACGAGUGUGUGUACACAUAUGGAGGUCAGAGGACUUGAUUCUACCAUGUGCACCCAGGGAACCAAAUUGACUCUGGCCCCGUUUAUCUGCUGAGCCAUCUCGCCGACCUCAAUAUUCUUCUUUACAGUGUCUCCUUGAAUGCUGGGGUGUCUUCCCACCUCACCCGUGUUUUGUUUUGGUUUUUUGAGCUAAGAUUUCUCUGUGUAACAUCCCUGGCUGUCCUGGACCCGAUUUGUAGAUUUCAGUGGUCUCAACUCCUGUUUGCCUGCCUCUGCCUCCCGAGCACCAUGCCGACCUACUCACCCUGUUCUUGAGGGUAGGCUUUGUAUACUCUGGGAUUUGCUGGAUACUCAGCACAGAGGUGGCAGUUCCUGCGAGUUGGGAUCUGAGUAGUAAAUGGCCUGGUCCCAAAGCAGGAGUCUUAAGAAUCCGGUGACAGGACACUGAGCUCCCCUUCAACUUGGUGUACAACCCUUUGUCGUAAAGUAGACACAAGAGGAACUAGAACUUUGGACAGAGCAGUGUGAGAUGGCUCCACUGAUGUGUUGUGCUUGCUUUUAUCGCUUAUUGGAUUUGGGCCUGGUCAACUCUGGAAGCCUUUUCACUACAGUUGUGCUCAGGAGUUAACACUACCCCAGGGCCACCCAGCUGGGGUUUUACCUCCUCAAAUGGCCCUGUAAUGGGAGUGGGGCCAUUCUGCA